GCAUCGGUGGUUUAGUGGUAAAAUUAGCCGUUGCCAUUCGAAAGAGUUAAUUCGGCUAGCCCCGGGUUCGAUUCCCGGCCGAUGCA
rnacentral:tRNA from 1 species